AAUACCCUAUUAUUUUAAAAGUAAUUAAUAAAAUCUAAUUAGUAAUAGUUAAGUUCUUGAAAAUUAAAGAAUUUGGCGGUAUUUUAGUCUAUUCAGAGGAAUCUGUCCUAUAAUUGAUAAUCCACGAUUUUUUAUACCUAAUUUAUUAAUUUACAUAUCGCCGUAGUUUGAAUAUUUUUUGAAAAUUAUAAUAUUCAUAAUUUAUUUUGAUGAAAAAAUUCAGGUCAAGGUGUAGUUUAUGGUUAGGGAGAGAUGGGUUACAAUAAAAAUAUUUAUUAUGGAUUAAUUAAUUAAAUUUUUUUAUGAAGGUGGAUUUGAAAGUAAUUUUAUUUA
rnacentral:rRNA from 1 species